CUGAUGUUAGCGGCGGACGGGUGAGUAACACGUGGGUAACCUGCCUGUAAGACUGGGAUAACUCCGGGAAACCGGGGCUAAUACCGGAUGGUUGUUUGAACCGCAUGGUUCAAACAUAAAAGGUGGCUUCGGCUACCACUUACAGAUGGACCCGCGGCGCAUUAACUAGUUGGUGAGGUAACGGCUCACCAAGGCAACGAUGCGUAGCCGACCUGAGAGGGUGAUCGGCCACACUGGGACUGAGACACGGCCCAGACUCCUACGGGAGGCAGCAGUAGGGAAUCUUCCGCAAUGGACGAAAGUCUGACGGAGCAACGCCGCGUGAGUGAUGAAGGUUUUCGGAUCGUAAAGCUCUGUUGUUAGGGAAGAACAAGUACCGUUCGAAUAGGGCGGUACCUUGACGGUACCUAACCAGAAAGCCACGGCUAACUACGUGCCAGCAGCCGCGGUAAUACGUAGGUGGCAAGCGUUGUCCGGAAUUAUUGGGCGUAAAGGGCUCGCAGGCGGUUUCUUAAGUCUGAUGUGAAAGCCCC
rnacentral:rRNA from 1 species